GAUGAACGCUGGCGGAGUGCCUAAGGCAUGCAAGUCGAACGGGACCUGUAGCAAUGCAGGUCUAGUGGCAGACGGGUGAGUAACGCGUGGGAACGUACCUAAAAGUGGGGGACAACACAGCGAAAGCUGUGCUAAUACCGCAUGUGAACGCAAGUUCAAAGCCGCAAGGCGCUUUUAGAUCGGCCUGCGUCCCAUCAGCUAGUUGGUAGGGUAAUGGCCUACCAAGGCGACGACGGGUAGCUGGUGUGAGAGCAUGACCAGCCACAACUGCACUGAGACACGGGCAGUACACCUACGGGUGGCAGCAACCGGGAAUAUUGGACAAUGGACGAAAGUCUGAUCCAGCGACUCCGCGUGAGGGAUGAAGGCCUUCGGGUUGUAAACCUCUUUUGUAUGGGAAGAAAAAAUAGACGGUACCAUACGAAUAAGGACCU
rnacentral:rRNA from 1 species